GUGUAAUUACCAGUCUUGCCUCCCCACAAAGUCUGUAGGUUUGUGCUGUGUUUGUAUGUGUGAUCUGAGCGCCAUCCGGUGGACAGACGACAUUUUUAUUUGAUACUCGCGCCAUUUUUGCGUUGAGUAUGGGCGCAACCAAGUGCAUAAUUGGAGGGGGGCACUCACCCAUUUUCCUUAACAAACGGAAAUAUAUUAAAAACGAGUAGACGUAAAUAAAUAGAAUAGAUGAAAAGACAGAUCAGUUUGCAAGGUUCAUUAAAGGGGGACAUAUAGAAAACAUUUUCUACUGUAUAUUGGGAGGGAAAGAUUGGUAUCACCUCAACAUUGGCGGGGACACGCCCCCCCAAAAGAAUACGUGGUUACGCCCAUAGUUGUAGGAGACACAGCAGCGACGGAGUCGGAGUAGGAGACACAUUUUUCCUCAGGAGUCACGACACAGCAGACACGGGGUUUUCUUUCUUCAAUUUUAACUUUUCUCAGGAGUUUAAGCCCUUUGUGCUUCUCAGGCCGACGUUUCUGCAGCCAACUGUUGAUGUGGAAGUCACACUUAGGGAAGUUAAGGUGGGCAUCCUGACUGUGAGUGAUGAUACCAGACAUGAUGGUUUCGUCCCAGCUGAUGUCCUGAAUGUUGCUGUGAUACUGGAAGGGGAGAUGUUCCUAAUGCUCUUGCUAUACUGCUUGGACUACUCUAUGUUCUGAACAUUAACUAUCCCAAAGAACUAUGAUAUACCUUUUGAGGUACUUCAGAGAAUUUUCAUGAAAAUUGGCGAGCUGCACAGCAAGAGUUCACAAUCUAAAAAAUAAAUUAAUGCAGUGAUGUAAAAAUGGUGCAAUGCAACCUUAUUGUUCAGGUUUUUUU
ensembl:lncRNA